rnacentral:lncRNA from 1 species
AUGCCCCGGCCCCGGCGCACACCUGAGGUCGGAGUUUCUAAAUUACUCAGCCCUCCUUCCUCCACCGCUCUGCGCCCGAGCCCCGGCCCAGGUUUUCUCAAAACUCAGCUUCCCUGGGGAUGCUUGCGGUCGGGCUCUGCCCCGCACAGCGGCUCUGGCACUCGGCUCUUAUGCAAAUCUCGGCUUCCUCCGCUGCAAGUGCACGAGGCCGACUGGCUGUCUCCGGGGCGGUCUGCGGAUCCGCACAUGCAAACGCACGCAGGCCCGCUGGCAGCGUUCCUGCGCGACGCAGCCCGCAGCGGGGCUCCGUUCCUCCCGGCAACGACAGGUUUAACCCCUGCGUACACCCAGACAGAGCCUAGCAACACGAACCCCGGCAACGCGACAGCUCCCGGCCUUAGCAACGGGCGCUGCACCAGCACCGCUGGCCCCACGGCAGAGCCCCACGCAGCGCCGAGAGCCGCGACGGCCCGGAUCCCGCUGCUGCGAUUGCGGCUGCAUUUGCCAUGCCCUGUGCUUGCAGGGCCGUUCGCUGCUGCCGCAGGGCUCGGGGCUCUCCCUGAGCCAGAGGCUCCCGCAGCGGCAGCAGCAGCAGCCCAGCUUUGCACCCCCCCCCCAGCCCCGACGGGUGCAAGAGGGGCUGACGGCUCACCGCAGCACCCGGACCAGCCUGCCGCGGGAACCCGGCUCCGUGCGCCGCUCAGCCCCGUUCGGCAGGGCGGAUCCACACGCCGUGGGAGAGAAAAGCAGCCCAAGGACACACCGCGCGCACGCAGAUGCACACGGCUCCUUCGGAGCCAGCGUGCUGCCACCCGAAACGCACAGAAACGCCUCACCGGGGACAGGGCUGUCACGGCUGCCCAUCCUACCCGCUGCUUGGGGUGCCCAGCGCGGGGCGAGCGUGCCCUGGCCUCUCCCGGCCCCGCGGCCGCCCGCGUGCCUCGCUCUGCACCAGGCUGUGCACCGGCUACAGCCGCCUCCCGGGUGUGCAUCAAGGCAACACACACACACACGCACACACGCACACAAGCAUCUACUCACGCCGCAGCAGGCGAGGAGGGCUGUCGUGCUGCUCGCCCCGGUGCACAAGCGCCAGGACGAGGCGACAGGCAGCUCCUUUCGGCUCCUUUCUCUCCCCGACCUCGUUUCACUUCUUCCUGCAGACGGUGCCGGCGGGGCGAGGGGGGGCAGGCGCCUCGCCGGGGCGCUGAGCCUGGGAGAGCCAGAAAGCCCCCUUGGCCGGGCGGAUCCCCCUCAUCCCGCUGCGCUCCCUGGUAG